rnacentral:rRNA from 1 species
UACGGGGGAGGCAAGCGUUGUUCGGAAUUACUGGGCGUAAAGGGCUCGUAGGUGGCCAACUAAGUCAGACGUGAAAUCCCUCGGCUUAACCGGGGAACUGCGUCUGAUACUGGAUGGCUUGAGUUCGGGAGAGGGAUGCGGAAUUCCAGGUGUAGCGGUGAAAUGCGUAGAUAUCUGGAGGAACACCGGUGGCGAAGGCGGCAUCCUGGACCGACACUGACGCUGAGGAGCGAAAGCCAGGGGAGCAAACGGG